rnacentral:rRNA from 1 species
GAGUUUGAUCUUGGCUCAGGAUGAACGCUGGCGGCGUGCCUAAUACAUGCAAGUCGAGCGAACAGACGGGGAGCUUGCUCCCCUGACGUUAGCGGCGGACGGGUGAGUAACACGUGGGUAACCUACCUAUAAGACUGGAAUAACUCCGGGAAACCGGGGCUAAUGCCGGAUAACAUGUUGGACCGCAUGGUCCUACAGUGAAAGACGGUCUUGCUGUCACUUAUAGGUGGACCCGCGCCGUAUUAGCUAGUUGGUAAGGUAACGGCUUACCAAGGCAACGAUACGUAGCCGACCUGAGAGGGUGAUCGGCCACACUGGAACUGAGACACGGUCCAGACUCCUACGGGAGGCAGCAGUAGGGAAUCUUCCGCAAUGGGCGAAAGCCUGACGGAGCAACGCCGCGUGAGUGAUGAAGGCC